GUCCUGGGCAAAUAAGCAGAACCCUGCUCAGGGGAAGCAAGACACGUUUCUGGGGCAGGAGGCACCAGCACAGAGUCGUCGACUCUAGAAAGUCCCGGAAGGGUGUGUGGGAAAGACUCUGUGUCUCCAAUCAUUGGUAGAUUUCAUUAUUUUCAGUGUCAUUUCUAAGAGUGGCGGUCUUGAUUGUGCAUCUCAUGGAAGGUAGAAAGCGUUCAUUUGUUUACCCGCCGAGCUUGGUCAUGGGUGAUGAUUAGGUUAGCUCAGCCUUUGUGUUCAUCCAGGCCUGACUGUGUUUUGAGAGCGAGCCAAGGAUGGUGUUAAGUGUGUGUGCAGAAAGAGGCAGCGUUGUUUUAUUUAUUUUUAUUGAUAAACAUUUUUAUAGAGCAUGCAACCUUUAUCAAAAAUCUAUCUGAUUUUAUCAGUUAACAAAUUUUGUUGUUGUUCAGUUGCUAAGUCCUGUCCGACUCUUCGCAAUCCCAUGGACUACAGCACACCAGGCCUCCCUGUCCCUUGCUGUCCCCAGGAGGUUACCCGAGUUCAUGUCCACUGAACUGGUGAAGCUAUCCAACCAUCUCAUCCUGUGCCACUCUCUCCUCCUUUUGCCUUCAGUCCUUCCCAGCAUCAGGGUAUUUUCCAGUUGAGUCCAAAGUAACAGAUUUUACCAAGCAUCAAAUACCAAAGGGCUUUUACAGUUAAUUUCUUUUAAAAUUUGUUUGUGUUUUUACUUUAUUUUUAAACUUUUUCUUUUGUAUUGGGGUAUAGCUGAUUAGCAAUGUUGUGAUAGUUUCAGUUAAGCAGCGAAGGUACUCAGCCGCACAUACAUAUGUGUCCACUCUCCUCCAAACUCCCCUCCCACCCAGGUAGCACCAUUUUAAUGAGAGUGAACAUUCAAGGAGCAAUUACUUUGUACCUGAGCUAUUCACCUACCUGCUUCUCCUGUACCAGAUCACCUCCUCCCAGGAUCAACUGUCUGCAGAGGUGUCCUGAUCACCUCCUUCCAGGCAGGUUUAUAAACCACAGUGUGGAUGUUUCACCAGCAGGAAGAAACAGCUGCCAAGUCACACAUCGAGAGCCGGACAGAGGCCUCUUCCUGUGUGUGUGGAAAAACCACGAGCUCUGCAGUCAGAGAGGAUAUUGGAGGCCAGAGAGGGAAGAAUCCGGAGAGAGAAACGAGGUGAUGAGAGAAACACACAGGCAAGAAUCAGAACGUGACAAGAAGCUGAACGAUGGUGGAGGUGCUGCUGCAGGAGAAGGGAUGUAAGGAUCUGGCCUGGGUGGGGAGGGUCCUGUCUGUAUCAGAGACAGGGUAGCCUGAACCUCACCAUUGCCCUCUCCCAGCCCACCCACUGCUGGCUUCCCUGAACGGAGCAUCCAUUUCCUGCGGCUGCUGUCAUAAGUGACCAUAGGCUGGUUGACUUGAAAACGACCCAGAUGUACUCUCCCUCAGUUUAGGAGGGGCCUGUGUGUGUGCUCAGUCGCUCAGUCAUACCUGACUCCUGCAUCUGCUGCAUUGGCAGAAAGAUUCUUUACCACUGCACCAUCUGGGAAGCUCUCUCUUGGUUGUGGAGGCCAGAAGGUCAGCCAGGGUGUUGGCAGGCCACACUCCCGCCAUAGGCUCUAGAGGGGGCUCCGUCCUGGCCUCUCCCAACUUCUCGCAGCCCCGGGUGUUCCUGGGCCUGUGGCUGCCUCACUCCUGUCUCUGCCUCCAGUCGCCUCUUCUCCCUGCAUUUCUUAUAAGGACACCCGAUGUGGCUUUCUAGUCCAGCCCUACACAAUCUAGGAUGCUCUCAUCUUGAGAUCUUUAACUUAAAGACAUCUGCCAAGACCCCUUUUCCAGAUAAGGUCAUGCUGGCAGGUACUGGGGGACAUAUCUUUUGAGGGAUCACGAUUCACACACUGUGCCAUACAUUCCUUACUCACCUUGCCUGACAGCUCUUUUUGAGCCUGAAUAUACAAAAGAAAUGUGGGAAGUGAGACUGGGUUUACAGUUUAGAAACAGAGGCAAAGCAGAUGUUUGCAGAGCUUGAUGGAAAAUGGUGGGUGUGUUGGAGACGUGGAGAGAAAUACAGUAGAAUGGAAGCUUAAAGGGGCAAGAGAUACACCAGCUUGGCUUGGGGGCCAGCAAGGAAAAGGAGGCUCCUCAUAGCAGACCUGAUAUGUGAGUGGAUUUUGACAGACAGGAGGACAUGAACUUGUGGGACAGGGACAAUCUGGGCAGAAAAACUAGCCUCAGGGAGGCCCAGAGGCAGGAAGCAGGGGGUUCACAGGCAGUGCUAAGAACUAUCUGGAGUGAUGGGAGCACAGAUGAGUGGAUGGCCGAGGCAAGAGGGGAUGGUAGAGAGGGUGUCUGGGGACAGGAUAGGGUGCCUUGAAUGGGGUUCAGCCAGGGAAGCCUGCACAACAUUAUGAAUAUAAGGGCAUGGUAUAAAAACCUUGAUUUCUGAAGAUAGUACUUUUAUAUUUCAUAGAGUAAAAAUUAUUUUUUCAUAAACAGUAAAAAUUAUUUUAAGCUAUUUGAGAUGCAGUAGAGGCAGAAAGAGGCCUUUCUGGAGCUUCCUUUAACUGACUAAACGCAGACACUUCAGAGAAGUGAGAACCACCAUAGAUUCCUUCUUGGGUGUGUGUCUGAUCCCAGGAGUGAGACGAAGAGUAAACCUACCUCUGCAAACUCUCUUGUCUCCUGAAACCUAUUUGCUCUUUCCAUUGGAGACUUUUCCUUUUCCUCCCUUUCCUCUGGCAAGUUAGCUAUUUAAGCCCCAAAUCAUAACCACUGUUUUGAGUGCCUCAUCACGGAGCUCUCCCACAUGCACGCACAUUACAUGUGUAGAUAAAAGUAUGCUUCUCUUGCUCAUUGGGCUUUUGUCAACUUAAUUCACAGGCCCUUGGGCACAGAACGUAAGAGGAUAGAGGAAAAGUUAUUCCCACCCUACAGUUUAUAUAUCGUACGUGUGAAUUAAAAUGUAGACAGAGACUUAAGAUGGGAACACUGGUUCAUAGACUAUUAAAUAAUCCCGGCACGAUUAGCAGGGGAGAAAGGAGAGAUAAGUAUGUAUUUAGAGAGACUGCAGAGGCAGAUUCAAAAGGAUUUUGUAGAAGGAAGAGAGGGAGGGAGGUUAGAAAGGGACAGCAGAUAGCUGACAAGAACUCUGUGGCUCUGAGCCUGGAUGACCAGGUCCAUGAUGGUGCUGUUAUUAGAAUUAGGAAGUAAGAGAUAGAAAGAUCUUAAGAAAACAGGACAUGUUAAUGGAACCUGCGUGAAGCCUGGCAGAGAGCCUAAACUGGAGAUGAGGAUUGAGAUGAUUGUGUUGAGGAUCCUUAAAGGCAUGGGGUAAGAGAAAACUAUGUUAAAAAAAAAAAAAAAUGUGAGGUGGGGAGGGGCCUCAGAGGUGAUUUGGGGAAGAAGGAGGGAGUGAGGCCAGCUAGGGGUGGGGAGUUAAUCAAAGGUAGAGGUGGUGAAAGAGGAAAGGUCAGAACAUCCGUGGGGCUGGAGAUCAAACAGAGCAUCUUUCUUUGUAUCAAAAGUUGCAGAGAGGUAGAUAAGGAUGGAGCACAUUCCAUAAGAACCGGAAAGAAGGCUGUCAUUGGAGGAAGCAGAGUCAGGAGAGAGGUUAGGAGGCAGAGCUGAAUUCGGGGGUUGGAGAUCAUUCCUUCAAAGAAUCUUACUGGAGGGAAGAGCAUCCCAGGUGCUGAGAACAGGAAGUGCAAAGGCCCUGAGGCACAACUGCGUCUGGCGUGACGGGGAGACCACGAUGACAAGUCACUGGAGCAAAGCUGAGAGUGGGAAACUAAAGACCUGAUCCCACAGGUCCCGGGAAGACUGUAGGGAAUUUGGAAUAAAGUAUGUUGGAAAGUGAGUGGAAGAAGAAAU
rnacentral:lncRNA from 1 species